rnacentral:rRNA from 1 species
GACGCUGGCGGCGUGCCUAAUACAUGCAAGUCGAACGCACUCUCGUUUAGAUUGAAGGAGCUUGCUCCUGAUUGAUAAACAUUUGAGUGAGUGGCGGACGGGUGAGUAACACGUGGGUAACCUGCCCUAAAGUGGGGUAUAACAUUUGGAAACAGAUGCUAAUACCGCAUAAAACCUAACACCGCAUGGUGUAGGGUUGAAAGAUGGUUUCGGCUAUCACUUUAGGAUGGACCCGCGGUGCAUUAGUUAGUUGGUGAGGUAAAGGCUCACCAAGACCGUGAUGCAUAGCCGACCUGAGAGGGUAAUCGGCCACACUGGGACUGAGACACGGCCCAGACUCCUACGGGAGGCAGCAGUAGGGAAUCUUCCACAAUGGACGAAAGUCUGAUGGAGCAACGCCGCGUGAGUGAAGAAGGUUUUCGGAUCGUAAAACUCUGUUGUUGGAGAAGAAUGUAUUUGAUAGUAACUGAUCAGGUAGUGACGGUAUCCAACCAGAAAGCCACGGCUAACUACGUG